GACGAACGCUGGCGGCGUGCCUAAUACAUGCAAGUCGAGCGCAGCGGGGACGGGUGAGUAAUAAGUGGAAAACCUCCUAUAAGUCUGGGACAACUUCGGGCAACCAGAGCUAAACGGGAUACUGAUAGAUGGAUCCGCGCUGAACUAGCUAGUGGGUAAGGUAACGGCUUACCAAGGCAACGAUGCAUAGCCGACCUGAGAGGGUGAUCGGCCACACUGGAACUGAGACACGGUCCAGACUCCUACGGGAGGCAGCAGUAGGGAAUCUUCCGCAAUGGGCGAAAGCCUGACGGAGCAACGCCGCGUGAGUGAUGAAGGUCUUCGGAUCGUAAAACUCUGUUAUUAGGGAAGCGGUACCUAAUCAGAAAGCCACGGCUAACUACGUGCCAGCAGCCGCGGUAAUAC
rnacentral:rRNA from 1 species